rnacentral:rRNA from 1 species
GUGUUGGUGGAAACUAAAAGGCAUCUUGCUUUCCCUUUGGUGUAUCAACUUCUCAAGUUGGUGCUAAUUUUGCGAGUUGCUACAUCGUCAGUGAAGAGAUGCUUUUCAGCAAUGAAUAUCGUCAAGAGUAUUUUGCGAAACAAAAUGGGUGACGAGUUCAUGAGUGAUCCUGAUUUGCUAUGUGGAGAAAGACAUAUUUUCUACAAUAUAACGAAUGAUUAUGUUAUUGAUCUAUUUAAGAAGAUGAAAGAUCAAGAAGGGAAGUUAUAA